UACGUAGGAUGCAAGCGUUGUCCGGAAUUAUUGGGCGUAAAGCGAACGUAGGCGGUUUCUUAAGUUUGGUCUUAAAGACCGGGGCUCAACCCCCGGGAAUGGACUGAAAACUGGGAGACUGGAGGACGUCAGAGGAAAGUGGAAUUCCGAGUGUAGCGGUGAAAUGCGUAGAUAUUCGGAGGAACACCAGUGGCGAAGGCGACUCACUGGACAGGUAUUGACGCUGAGGUGCGAAAGCGUGGGGAGCAAACAGGG
rnacentral:rRNA from 1 species